rnacentral:misc_RNA from 1 species
GAUGAAGAACGUAGCGAAAUGCGAUAAGUAAUGUGAAUUGCAGAAUUCAGUGAAUCAUCGAAUCUUUGAACGCACAUUGCGCCCGCUAGUAUUCUGGCGGGCAUGCCUGUUCGAGCGUCAUUUCAACCAUCAAGCCCCCGGCUUGUGUUGGGGACCUGCGGCUGCCGCAGGCCCUGAAAAGCAGUGGCGGGCUCGCAGUCACACCGAGCGUAGUAGCAUACAUCUCGCUCUGGGCGUGCUGCGGGUUCCGGCCGUUAAACCACCUUCAUAACCCAAGGUUGACCUCGGAUCAGGUAGGAAGACCCGCUGAACUUAAGCAUAUCAAUAAGCGGAGGA